GGAGCAGCAGAACUCAUGUGUGUUCUGUUUCAGAGCCAACAAACUGGAUGUUGUACCUCGCUGUGGGCUCUGUUAUGAUCCUGCUGUUGUAUGUGAAGCGGAGCUACCUGCACUCAGCAUGGAGAAAGUUAGCAGGUAAGGUGAUAUAAAAACAAACAAACUGGAGGACUGGGAACGGAGCGAGAGGAUGUGGCCCCAUUCUCAACACACAAGGCAAGCUGGCAAACUUUCCUUUCUGGGGUCCCCAUGGAAACAUCAGUGAAAGGUGGAUUUGUGUUGAUGUGUAAACUCCUGCAUGUAUGAAUGUAAAACAGUGCAAUAACAUUAAAACUACUGAAGAUCAUGGGUUAGCAGCUACUGAGCCAGUGGAUUCAGGAGCCAGGACUCAUUCUUCUGAUGCACAAGACACUUUUUGGACUAAACACUGGAAAGACAAGGUUCUUUAUAGCCACUGAGCUAAAUAUAAACGGCAUAUUGAAAACCGAAUGUCAGUUUACUAAAUGAAGAUUACUGUAAAAUCAAUAAAUAUAAUAAGGAUGCUGAAAAGAAUGAAUCCACUGUAGAUUCAGGUUAGCAAACAGGAAUAGAAAGAUCUCUUUCAGACUGGAAAGACAUUCUGUCUAAUUUAUUAAGAAAUUAUGCUAAUGAAUAAACCUUUCUUGUUUAAAUA